AUUGAACGCUGGCGGCAGGCUUAACACAUGCAAGUCGAGCGGGGACUUCGGUCCUAGCGGCGAACGGGUGAGGAAUGCUUGGGAAUCUGCCCAGUAGCGGGGGAUAACGUUUCGAAAGGAACGCUAAUACCGCAUACGCCCUACGGGGGGAAGGGGGGGAUCUUCGGACCUCUCACUAUUGGACGAGCCCAAGUCGGAUUAGCUAGUUGGGGGGGUAAAGGCCUACCAAGGCGACGAGCCGUAGCUGGUCUGAGAGGAUGAUCAGCCACACUGGAACUGGGACACGGUCCAGACUCCUACGGGAGGCAGCAGUGGGGAAUAUUGGACAAUGGGCGAAAGCCUGAUCCAGCCAUGCCGCGUGUGUGAAGAAGGCCUUCGGGUUGUAAAGCACUUUAAGCGAGGAGGAAUGGCUGAGGGUUAAUAACCUUCAGCAGUGACGUUACUCGCAGAAUAAGCACCGGCUAACUCUGUGCCAGCCGCCGCCGUAAUAC
rnacentral:rRNA from 1 species